UGGGAUGUUCCUCCAUGUCUUCAAAAUAAUCAACCCCCCAAACGACUGCCUUUUCCUGAGUCACUUUCUGCUAUGUUACACAAGGUUAUUCUUUUUAUAGCACUUAAAACCUGUUGAAGUUAUACAUUGUCUAUUUACUUAUCUUCUGCCCUUAUCACUCAACAUACUCCAACAAGCAGGUCCUUGCUUGAAUCUGUGAAUUCUGGAAUAAAUGAGAUAAUUUUUGCCCUCAAGAUGCUCACAGGCUAAAGAAAAUAGAGAAGCCAAAUUAUAGGAUCAUAGAAAACUGGAAUAAGUUCCUUUGCUCUUAUUAUAAAAUCAGAGAGCUUUGAGAGGACUAGUUUGUUCAUUUUCCACACCCUCCAUGUUUCUUUCUUUCUUUUUCUGUUUUUUUUUUUUUUUUUUGGCCAUGUGGUAUGUGGGAUCUUAGUUCUCCAACCAAGGAUGGAACCCCCACCCUUGCAGUGGAAAUUCAGAGGCUAGCUACUGGAUGACCAGCAACAUCCCCUUCAUGUUUCUUAAACAGAGAAACCUAGACUUACCCAGAGAGGAUUCACCCGAGUUUGCACAGCAUUAGAGACACACCCUGGUUCUGAACCUAGGCCACCCAACUUCUCAUAGCGUGAGUUAAAGGAAGGCUUCCCAAAGCAGCUCUGGACUCUCUUCUACUUCCUGUACUUGGCAUCACUAUUAUAGGAACCACCUGCAGAAGGAAAACAAAUUACCCAGAGGAGCCAUUUGAGGAGCAAAAGGAAAUUCUCAAAUAUAUAAGGACCCUACCCUUUAAUCAGACACAAUGUCUGAAUCUUCACCAUUAGUAUCUCCUCUCUUUGGAGCAAGUCUUUUUCUACUUGGACUCCUCUGAAGAAGCACAGAAGCACCAGGAAGAAUGACCCUCUGGGCCCUCAGUGUGGGCAAAGCUGGCCAAACCUCCUAGUCCUCUGAGGGAACUUCUGGGGAGAGGAAGACAGACGGUGCAGUUGGGGUUUAGAGGAGGCAUGGGAAGAGACGUUCCAAGGCAUCAAGCAGAACUUUCUUACCUGGCCCCACCCGUGUAUCUUGUCUCAUCCCUUGAAACCCACAGAGGACCCUCCAGCUACAAGAAAUCACUUGCAGACAUGGUGACAAGCGUUUCCAGGCAUGCUUUCCAGUCCGCACAGCAGCCUUAUGAGAAGGUUGCUGUCAGCAUCCCGUUUAUACCUGUAAAGAAACCAAGGCACAGGAAACUUUGCCUCGAGCUGUCCCUCCCCCAAUGACAGAACUGCAUGUCCAUCAAGAUGCUCAGAAUAGGAAUCACUCGGCCUCAGUGUAAGGAUACUCACAGAGAUAUCCCAGACGUGGAAUGCUCAACUUCAGAUGUACAGCAGUUUAACACAUGCAUUUGCCUCCUCCUCUGAGAUCCUCCCAGCAUCGUUCACAGGCCAGGCAGACACUCCUGGCUCUAUCCUCAAGAAAGGUCAAGUCUCAAAAGGAUUAUAUACCAGGCCCUUUCUAUAUCUCCAUUCUUCUCCUCAUCUUUCACAGCUGGGGAAACUGAGGCUCAGAUGAGAUAAGACUCUUGCCUCCAACUUCAGGCCCAAAUUGCUUUCCCCUCAAGGUCUCCAAUUUCUGAAUUUAUGCUCCGUAAUUUGGCCCUGACUGAAACCAAGGCGCUCAAUCAAGCAUUCAUUCAACAGUUACUCAGCACUUCCACCCUGCAACCAGAUAACUACCAGCCUCGAGCCAGUUGUCUGUGGUCUGGAGCCAUCACCUUGCCUGAACUGUGCUGAGCCUCAAACCCAGCUGGACAAUCCUGCCGCCAAACCCGGUGGAGCUGUCCUUGGUGCUGAAGAUACGUCUGCAGGCGCCUGCCUCUAAGGCCACCUCUGGACUUUGGGAGGGACUGAGGCUGGAUUAUUGGAAGUACUGAGUUCCUGCCAUGCUCCAUGCUGGCCUGGCACAUCUAGAGACUUGCCUCUCUUCUUGUCCAAAUACUUUUGAUUCAGUGUCUUGUGGACUAAGUGAAGCUGAGGCAGCUUAUGCCCUGGUUCAGUAAUAUUUGCUAGACUGUGCGAGAAAAACAAACCCUUGGGUGUGUCAAGGGGAAGAUACUAUGUUGAAGGGGGUUCUGGAAGCUAUGGCAACUAGAAACUGUAGCAAGACCCCAGUAAGGACAGGAGAACAUUUCCUAUCAUUGUCCUCAGAUCCUGGAGGGGCUGUCCUGGGAAACCGGCUUGGGAUAUUUCCUCCCACAGUCAGAAGGUUGAGGUUUCAGAAAGAGAGAUUUCAACUCUACUUAAGAACCCCUUAUUAGGGUCAGAGUCCCUUCAGUGAAGGAUCAUUUUGCCUCAAGGAGAAAGGCAUUUCCAGGCAAUGAGAAUGAUAAAAUAUUCCAUUUUUGGGACCAGCACUUAGGCACAAUGGCUGCAAUUUACUAAACACCUAUUAUGUGCCUAUUAUUGGAGAAGGAAAUGGCAAUCCACUCCAGUACUCUGGGGAAAAUUCCAUGGAUGGAGGAGCCUGGUGGGCUACAGCCCGUGGGGUCACAAAAAGUCAGACAGGACUGAGCAACUUCAUUUUCACUUUUUUUUUUUUUCAUGUUAUUAUGUGCCUGGCAUGACCUAUGGGCAUGGAUAUCAUUAGCCUCAUGUUAUAGAGGAAGAAACUGAGGCACAGAGAGAGGAAAUGACUUCUUCAAGGUCAUGUGGCUAGCAAGUAAUGAGCUGAAAUCACCCCCAUGUAUGUGAUUCCAAACUGCUGUGCUACAAAGCCUCCCUGGAUGCAUCCAGAAGGUAUGGAAUUAUUCUCUCACCCACAUCCCUCCAUAGCCUUCUCCCAGCUACCUCCCCACCUCCUCCCCAUGGGUUAAGUUUUAAGGAAGAAAUAAAUUAAAAAUGGAUGAGAUGCCCAGCACAGGGUAUGGGGCCUGAUCCGAUUAACACUGAUGUUUCUUUCAUGAGGGAUGGGUCAGUAAUUCUCACCUACAGCAACCCAGGGUGGUGGAGGAAGCUGUCUCUAAGUCACCAAGCCACCUGCCUCCCAGCUCUGUGGGUUCUCUGACCCGCCCUGCCCCACCAUCUGCCGCCCCCUUCCCCUCCCCCUGUACUGCCCGUGGUCCAGUCAUGGCUCUCAGAAGCCCCACCAAGCUCCGGCUGCAUCUCCAAGCCUGCCUGGGGCAGCAGAACUAGCCCAGGCUUUGGGUUUAAGUAGAAUCUAGAUCCUGGCUCUGCCUCUUACUAUGAGACUGUAGAGAAGCCACCUAGAUUUAGCUUUCCCUCCAGUAAAAUGGGGAAGAGGCCUGCCUCGCAGACCCACUGUGAGGUGUGAGUUAAUGUAUCUGGAGCUCAGAACAUAGUUUAUCUUCUCUCACUGAACACUCCAUCGAUGGCUGUUACUGCUGCUGCUGCUGCUGCUGCUGCUGCUACCAUUAUAUUGAUGAAUGGAAGCAUUUCUUGUCCUGAGCACUUGAUGACCUGAAAGAGAAAUGGAUAAAAAUCAAGGGGGUGGGAAUUGAGGCUCCAUUCAUGGAAAAGCAGGGCACUCCUUAGGGGAGUCUCAAAUUUUUCCCAACCAGCCAUGUUCAUGGAGCAAAGAACAAGCAACAGUCAGAGUGAUCAGGGCUCUGGUUAUUGGGGGUUUGCCCACCUAACUCUGCAUCCAGCUGAGAGGCAGAUGGCAGUCCCUCAGAUGGAGGCCAAAGGCAUCUUGGUCAUUGGAAAAGCUGAUCCCAGAGGAAGGAAGCGUCCUCUGUCUAACAGCUGGGAAAUUUCCUAUGGCGAACCCCAGGGGUUGGUAGACACACUGCCCAGACACAAGGAAACUGGACCUGCCAGCCCCAUUGACUGCUGAGGGUUGGUGCCCACCUGGGCUUCCUAUGGGCAGCCUGGCUCCCACCACCUCAUGCUGAGUCCUUGGCCUGGGCACUUCCCCUGUCUGAGCCCAGUUUGAUGCUUUGUUAAACAAAGGCAAUAGUAGAACCUUCCACAGAGAGUGGUGGUGAGGGUUAAAGCGUACACAUGAGGCAAACGGGUGGCAGACCAGGGCUAGGACCCUUCGCUGGAUCUGAGCCCUGGUGACCCAGGGAGGGAUCCAGGCACUGCCCCCACCUUCCAACCAUGGAGCACACCUCAUCAGCAACUCUGAGCCUCUCGCCUUGCGUGCCAGAUGCUGCACGUGGCUAGGAGGAGGAGAAGGAGGGGAAGAGGCCGGGAAGCCUGGGGCCCAGGGGAGCACCCUGCACGCCAGACUCCCUCACGCAAGGGGUUUGGGUUUGACACGCGAGAGGAAGACAUCCACCAGGCCUCCCCCGCUUCCCUUCCCCCUAAGCGCAUCCAGGGAGGGUUAGCAACCAGCCCCUGCCCCAAACCCAGCCUCCGCUCGCCAUGGCCCUUCAGUCCAUCUGUCCAUCUGCCUUCUCAACGGGCAGACUGGCCACCUGCCUCCCCCUUGAUCUGCUUCUUGGACUGUCACUGUGCCCGUCUGUCUGCCUAUGAUGCUGUCCGUCUGCCUGUCAGUCAUCAGGCUUCUUGUGGGUCAGGUCAGAUUGGCUGUCCUUCUGUCUGUCAGUCUGUCCAUCGGUCUUCCUCUCUGUUUCACCAUCAGGUCUAUCUGUCUGUCCUCCCAGUGGUCAGACGGCCUCCCAUCUCUCUCCUCCACCUAUUGGUCUGUCUGUUCCUUAACGGUCUUUUUGGUCAGGCCAGCAGCCCAUCUGUCUUUCAGCGCCUGUACUUUCCCCCUAUCCACCUGCCAAGGGGUCACUCUUGCCUUCCUCUCUGCCUGCCCUUCCGUCAACCUUGUUCUUCCCAACCCUCACUCCUCUCCAUGUGUGGAGACGGCUUCGCUCAUCACCAAAACCCACCUCUGUCUGCCAUGGACCAGGGCUGGCUGGCCCCCGGUGAAGCAGAGCAGACAGGCCAGCCAGCCCAGGGCCCCUCCACCCCAGCCCUCCA